rnacentral:lncRNA from 1 species
AGUGGAUAUCCGUAGAGCUCAGAUACUUGUAUAGCUACAAGAAAAUCUCUUCUCUUCUAGAUCUAGAUUUGAAGAAAGAGAUUGCGACACAUAUAUGUGAUUUGAUCAUAAACUAAAUUUCAGCAUAUGUUAAUUUCAACACAUAAAGUAGUUCCUCAUGGUUUUAUAUUUUAUGCAUGCAUGAUUUAGAUUAAAAGUAUUUUAAUCUUAUAUUCCACUGUGAUAUUUUAAAAUAUAAGAUUUGAAACAUAUAUGCAUGCCCCAAACC